rnacentral:tRNA from 1 species
GCGGAUAUAGUUUAUUGGUAGAACACUAGCUUCCCAAGCUGGAUGGGCGGGUUCGAUUCCCGUUAUCCGCU